CGCGGGGUAGGCUAAAAAAGUCAAUGGGCUCAUAACCCGGAAAUAUGUUCGACAGGCAUUCCCGUGU
rnacentral:tRNA from 1 species